GCAGCCGGGGCUGGAAGGACAGG
rnacentral:piRNA from 1 species